rnacentral:rRNA from 1 species
GACGGAGGGCGCGGGCGUUAUUCGGUUUGAUUGGGUGUAAAGGGUAUGUAGGCGGCUCUCGGUGAUCUGGCUAAAAACGCGGGGAGUUCCCACGCGGUAGCCUUUGAUAAAGAGAGAUAGAGUUGAAGAGAGGUGGGGGAAAAUUUUCAAGUAGGGGUAGAAUCCCACGAUAUGAGAAUGAAGGCUAGCUGGCGAAAGCGCCUUUCGGGCUUCAACUGACGCUGAGGUACGGAAGCUUAGGUAGCAAACGGG